rnacentral:tRNA from 1 species
UCCGCUGUGGUCUAAUUGGCAGGACGUCUGGCUCUGGACCAGAAGGUUGGGGUUCGAAUCCUUACAGCGGAAC